rnacentral:rRNA from 1 species
UACAGGGGGUGCAAACGUUGCUCGGAAUCAUUGGGCGUAAAGCGCACGUAGGCGGAUUGCUAAGUCAGGGGUGAAAUCCUGGAGCUCAACUCCAGAACUGCCUUUGAUACUGGCGACCUUGAGUCCGGGAGAGGUGAGUGGAACUGCGAGUGUAGAGGUGAAAUUCGUAGAUAUUCGCAAGAACACCAGUGGCGAAGGCGGCUCACUGGCCCGGUACUGACGCUGAGGUGCGAAAGCGAGGGGAGCG